rnacentral:rRNA from 1 species
GUGAUGAAGAGCUUGAUCCUGGCUCAGAAUGAAUGUUGGCGGCGUGCCUAACACAUGCAAGUCGAGCGAGAAAGUCCCUUCGGGGGCAAGUAGAGCGGCGAACGGGUGAGUAAUGCAUAAGAAUCUGCCUUUUAGUGAAGGAUACCUUUGGGAAACUAAAGUUAAUACUGCAUACGUCCCUUCGGGGAGAAAGAUGGCCUCUUGCUGUCGCUAAAAGAUGAGCUUAUGUUCUAUUAGUUUGUUGGUGGGGUAAAGGCCUACCAAGACGAUGAUGGAUAGCCGGCCUGAGAGGGUGAACGGCCACAUUGGAACUUAGACACGGUCCAGACUCCUACGGGAGGCAGCAGUGAGGAAUAUUGCACAAUGGGCGAAAGCCUGAUGCAGCGAUGCCGCGUGAGUGAAGAAGGCCUUUGGGUUGUAAAGCUCUUUCGUCGAGGAAGAAAAUGACUGUACUCGAAUAAGAAGGUCCGGCUAACUUCGUGCCAGCAGCCGCGGUAAUACGAAGGGACCUAGCGUAGUUCGGAAUUACUGGGCUUAAAGAGCUCGUAGGUGGUUAAAAAAGUUGGUGGUGAAAUCCCA